rnacentral:rRNA from 1 species
UACGGGGGGGGCAAGCGUUGUUCGGAAUUACUGGGCGUAAAGGGCGCGUAGGCGGCCUGUUAAGUCGAACGUGAAAUCCCCGGGCUCAACCCGGGAACUGCGUCCGAUACUGGCUGGCUUGAAUCCGGGAGAGGGAUGCGGAAUUCCAGGUGUAGCGGUGAAAUGCGUAGAUAUCUGGAGGAACACCGGUGGCGAAGGCGGCAUCCUGGACCGGUAUUGACGCUGAGGCGCGAAAGCCAGGGGAGCAAACGGG